AGAACGAACGCUGGCGGCAGGCCUAACACAUGCAAGUCGAACGAGAAGCCACCUUCGGGUGGUGGACAGUGGCAGACGGGUGAGUAACGCGUGGGAACGUGCCUUUCGGUUCGGGAUAACCCAGGGAAACUUGGGCUAAUACCGGAUACGCCCUCCGGGGGAAAGAUUCAUUGCCGAAAGAUCGGCCCGCGUCGGAUUAGCUAGUUGGUGGGGUAAUAGCCUACCAAGGCGACGAUCCGUAGCUGGUCUGAGAGGAUGACCAGCCACACUGGGACUGAGACACGGCCCAGACUCCUACGGGAGGCAGCAGUGGGGAAUAUUGGACAAUGGGCGCAAGCCUGAUCCAGCCAUGCCGCGUGGGUGAAGAAGGCCUUAGGGUUGUAAACCCCUUUCAGCGGGGACGAUAAUGACGGUACCCGCAGAAGAAGUCCCGGCUAACUCCGCGCCAGCAGCCGC
rnacentral:rRNA from 1 species